rnacentral:rRNA from 1 species
GAUGAACGCUAGCUACAGGCUUAACACAUGCAAGUCGAGGGGUAACGAGAGGGAAGCUUGCUUUCCUUGUCGACGACCGGCGCACGGGUGAGUAACGCGUAUCCAACCUGCCCCCAACUAGGGAAUAACCUUGCGAAAGUAAGACUAAUACCCUAUAAUUUCCUCAGAUGUCAUCUGACGAGGAAUAAAGAUUUAUCGGUUGUGGAUGGGGAUGCGUCUGAUUAGCUUGUUGGCGGGGUAACGGCCCACCAAGGCAACGAUCAGUAGGGGUUCUGAGAGAAAGGUCCCCCACAUUGGAACUGAGACACGGUCCAAACUCCUACGGGGGGCAGCAGUGAGGAAUAUUGGUAAAGGGGGGGAAGCCUGAACCAGCCAAGUAGCGUGCAGGAUGACGGCCCUAUGGGUUGUAAACUUCUUUUAUACAGGAAUAAAGUUAGCCACGUGUGGUUAUUUGUAGGUACUGUAUGAAUAAGGACCGGCUAAUUCCGUGCCAGCAGCCGCGGUAA